GUGCCGGUAGCUCAGCUGGAUAGAGCGUCUGGCUACGGACCAGAAGGUCGGGGGUUCAAAUCCUCUCCGGCACGCCA
rnacentral:tRNA from 1 species